rnacentral:rRNA from 1 species
CCUACGGGUGGCUGCAGUGAGGAAUAUUGGUCAAUGGCCGGAAGGCUGAACCAGCCAUGCCGCGUGCAGGUCAGUGCUCUAUGGGCGUUAAACUUCUUUUGUGAGGGAGCAAUAAUGGUCACGUGUGUCCAGACGAGAGUACCGUACGAAUAAGAAUCGGCUAAAUCCGUGUCAGCAGCCGCGGUAAUACGGGGGAUGCAAGCGUUAUCCGGAUUUAUGGGGUUUAAAGGGUGCGUAGGCUGUGAGGUAAGUCAGCGGUGAAAUGCCCCGGCUCAACGGGGUGAAGUGCCAUUGAUACUGCCUUGCUGGAAUGCGGAUGCCGUGAGAGGAAUGUGUGGUGUAGCGGUGAAAUGCAUAGAUAUCA